UUUCCUACGGGACGCAGCAGUGGGGAAUAUUGGGCAAUGGGCGCAAGCCUGACCCAGCAACGCCGCGUGAAGGAAGAAGGCUUUCGGGUUGUAAACUUCUUUUCUCAGGGACGAAGAAAGUGACGGUACCUGAGGAAUAAGCCACGGCUAACUACGUGCCAGCAGCCGCGGUAAUACGUAGGUGGCAAGCGUUAUCCGGAUUUAUUGGGUGUAAAGGGCGUGUAGGCGGGAGCGCAAGUCAGAUGUGAAAACUGCGGGCUCAACCCGGAGCGUGCAUUCAAAA
rnacentral:rRNA from 1 species